AAAAAGUAUAUAUUGCACAGAAAAAUAUAUUUGUAAAGUAGUGUAUUUCAUAUCCAGUUAAUGUUAAUAUAUAAAGUUGAUAUUAUAUAUUAGCAGUUUGAUGUUCAGUGAUGAAGUAGAAAUGCUUUUGUUAGUGGAGAGUGAAUGUCAGACUAACAGGAGGAUUUUAGAAUUCAGUCAAUGGUAAUAUGAAUUAAUAACAUUCAAUAAGUUAAGAAAUCUUACUUUACUCUUCAGAAUGGAGUUCAUGUGCUCAUGUUAAUUAGAGUAAAGUGCUUUCGGUUUAUGAGACCAGUUACUGUGAAACAACUUGUUGAAAUGGAGAGAAUAAAGUUUUUAUGUGCAUUUCUUUCAGAAUUGUUGAAUUGAUUAUUACUCAUUUAUAAGAAGGUAUAAAAGGCAGAACUAUCGGUCUCUGUAUCGGCCGGUAUCACUCUGAAUAAUCGGUUAUGGGUAUCGGCUGAGAAAUUCAGUAUCAGCGCAUCUCUAAUAGGCAAUCGGUAUUACUGAGUAGGGUUGCACGGUAUAUCGGUACUACGGUAGUAACGUGAUACUAAAGCUUCAAAACACCGCCGAUGCCACUGUAUUUUUUAAACGAUAGGAUCGUCAAUACGGUAGUACUGUGAGUAAUGCUGCAUGUGUCCAUUAUUGACACAUGCAUAUGAACGACAUCCAUAUUAACAAAGCUUCACUCGAAGAAUCCCGAAGAACGUGGCAGGAAACGCCACCCUCCUGUAGUUCAGACAAGAAGAAUCUUCAGUGGAGAUUUGAGCAGAAUCUGCUCACUAGAGACGCAUUAACGACACGUGAGGACGUCAGGUGAGAUCGACUAUCCAUUACUCUGCGCCAGAUGUUAGCAGCAGGCCUGAACCUGGGCCACAGAUGUUAUAACUCCAACAUUCAUGUGUCAAGCUGAUGAGUGCCAGAGUGACAAGAGUGUGUGAGUCAGAGAAAUAAAACGUGUAUAUGCCUGACGAUGGUAGGCACAGACGACAGGAGAGUAUUUACAUGCUAAAGUACAAGCAAGCCACAGACCGAGAGUGGAAAAAGGAAUUGAGAGACAACAUAAAGAGGAAUGAUGUGAGGCUUGGAGCCUUUCGCAUUGUUGAUUGCGUGUACGUAUUAGUCGAAGCAUCAGUGCAGCACAGAAUCCAGACACAGACAUCAGCCUGGAUAAAUAAAUCCCAAAGUAUUUCACAAUUCACACACACAGUCAGUCAAGGACAAAUACUCAGGAGUAUCAAAAGAGGAUGAAAGUAUUACUCUAAAUCAUUCUAUCAGAGGUAUGAGGGUAUAUGAGGGUGAGUCUAAAAAAAAACAAAUAUCAAGUGUUAUUUACUUUAAGACUAUCUGUUCCUGUGCCGUGUUUUAAAGCACACCUAUAAUGGUUUUGAAACGUGCCUAAUUUUGUUUUAAAGCUCUCAAUGCAUCUGAAGUCAAAAAACACUUUAACGUGCUCAUAAUUUAAAUUACAGCAUUACAUUUAUUUCCUCAGUGUCACAAACGACUCACUUAAUGAUCCGUUCUAAAGGAUUCAUUCUAAACGCCUCCGUUCGGAGAGCAUACUCUGCUCUGAUUGGUCAGAUGUCACAGUCUGUUGUGAUUGGUUUACCGCUGUCAGCGUGUUUCAAGAAGGAAACGCCCACUACCAUAACGACUUUCAGCUCCGUCUAUUCGAGCAGCCGAUGAAGACCGGAGGCGGGCCUUUUUUUUUUUUGUUACAAACCUACGUAGGUUAGUACAGGAAGUGAGUCUGGAAUCACUAACGACUCGAUUCAGCUGAUUCGAUUCAACUCGAUUCGAAUCGGUUCCUUCAUUUGAGAGUCAAUAACCCUGUUUGGCUUAGAAUUUUGAAACCUUGCAGAUUUUUUUACAUUCGCAAACAGCUCUAUAACACACUACAUGAAAGGUAAUAUCUGAAGAAGAAAAAAACAUAAUAGGUGCGCUUGAAGAUGUUUAACAGGUCCAGAUGUAAAUAUCAGGAAAUGAAAGCUGAAAUUCUGAUCUGUCGUCUCACACUCAUCUUUCCACCUCAAACCCAAACAUCUUCAGUGUAUAGCAAAAUCAAUAGAAUUGGCUUUUAUGUUCCAAUACUUUCGGAGGAGACUGUGCAAGUCUGUUUCAAAUGUAUUGAAUCCAUCUUUUCCACAGUGUUAGUUCACAGUGCUACAUUGAUUUAUACAGAGUAAAGGUGAUAAGUGGCAAAAACAUUAAUCGUGGUAAAUUGUCUGUUGGGAAGAUGAUGUACUUUUCGAUGCACUGCACUCCGAUGAGACCUGACAACGCAGCGGAAAAUUCAGCGCACAGUUAUAAGUCAAAUAUCAUUUUUCAGCAGGCGAACAAACAACAGUGUGGCGUGUCUGCUCAGAAAUUCUCCCAGAGGUAGGGUGAAAUAAUGAAUGAAAUUCUUUUCGUCCCCUCUCCAGACACACCGCUAUUUAUCUUUCAGACUUUCAUCCACGAAAAAACGAAUGCGUAUGUGAUUGUGCCCUGCGAUGGACUGGCACCCUGUCCAGGGUGUACCCCGCCUUGUGCUCGCUGGGAUAGUCUCCAGGUUCCCCGUGACCCUGAAAAGGAGUAAGCGGUAGAAGGAUGGAUGGAUGUUCCUGUUCAUGUGGAGCAACGACGCGAACGCUCUCGGUAAUGUGGACAACCUGGGCAAUUUCCUAUCCCACUAACAGCUGGUUCCAGUCCUGCGUAUCACGUAGCUUAAGAUGAACCAGCUGCGUUUUGCUUCUCCUACCAAAACCCCACCCCCCCCCAAAAAAAACAAAACAAUACUAGCUUGAAUGUCGCGAUUUGAUUACAGAUAUCGACGUGUUCUAUUUUGAAUCACUUCUACAGUUUCAAACGGUGAAUUUGGGUUCUUCUUAUAGCAUCUUCUUUCUCUCAUAACCAUCCUCCUCACUCUACAGUGGGCCUGUAUGAACACGGGUCCUCUUUAACAAACUACUUUUUAUUGAUAUCUUGCUGGUUUGUUUGUUUUUUCCAUAGUGAUGGAUCAUAGAGUGUUGCAAUCUCAUAACUUAUCAAAUGCAAAAACAGUGUUUCUGAAGAGUGACUGCAAUUUCAUUUCUUUGCAUUUGUUCUAAAUGCAUAUAUACUAUUAUUUAAAAAAAAAAAAAAAAAAAGAUAUUUAUCAUUUUUAAAAAUGCUUUUAUGAGAAAUACUACGGAUAAUUUCGCUUGGAUACUACGGAGACUUGCACUUCCUAAGAGCUGCUGCUGUUCUCAUAAAAAGAUGGAGUCUUCUUCCUCGUGGAGAAAAAUCUCAGGGAGUUUAGUCCUUGCCACGGUCACCUCUGGCUUGCUCAUUAGGAAUCUAACUGUAUAUCCAGAUCCGGAGUUCUGUAAAGCUGCUUUGCCACCGUGUCUACAAAUAGAAGUGAAUUGGAAAAUAAAUAAAUAAGGAAGAUAAGUAGAUCCUCCAGUUGUUGGAGUAGAAUUCUUUUGCUUAAAGGGUGCCAAUAAUUCUGGAGUUGACUGUAUGUAGCGUUGUCAUCUCUCUGAACUUUGCCCGUUACACCCUCUGUUUGGAGAGUGUCAGUAUACUGUUGGCAGUCUGCUACCUAUAGCUAGUCUUCGCCAGACACAGCAGUGUAUGAAACACUAUAUAUAGAGUAAGAAAGUACUUCUCAUGUAGCAGAGCCAAGUAGUGUGUGUGUGUGUGUGUGUGUGUGUGUGUGUGUGAGAGUGUGAGAGAGAGAGAG